CGUGCUGCGUAAAUGUGUAUUACUCUCCAGGGAGUAAAUUCAGUCAAAGUCCAAUGACUUGACAAUUCCUGCUGAAAUUUGCAGGGACACCUGUGGGCUGCGUUGGCCUUGAAAGAGUCAAGUAUUACUUUCUAAGAAUUGAAGAUGAGAUUUGCUUGUUAGCUGGAUAUUCUAAGGCCGUGGCGCCGCCAUACGAGCAUUAAUAGCUGCUCUUCUCUGUGCAAGUCUAAGGCUGCGGCGAAGAGGUUUGUGGGUCGCAGAAGAAAGUUGUGGGUCGGAAGGUAAGUUCUUCUUUCUUCUAUUUCGAAGCGAAAUACCUCGGCUUGAAAUCUGGUCAGUUUCCGCAUCAGCCUCUUUGUUUGCUGACACAGUAGCUGCUCCUGGCUUUUGUCUGGUUAUCCUUGAUGCAGGGGUCUUGGGGGCCCCUUUGUGAGAGCGUGUUUGCGGUUUAGCUGGUCGUUUGUCAUGUAAAGCGCCUUUGCUAGAAACCUUCUCAAUUUCUUUAACAUUUCCCUCUACUUCUACUGUGACUGUAGUCGGCUUUUGUUUUUGUCUGGUGAUCUUUGAUGCGGGAGGGUUGGGAUUAUGUGACCGUUCACUGGCGGCCACAUCUGUUGCUGCACCCGUAGCCGCUGACUCGUAUAAUGUGUAACCAUCGACGGCGCCCUUUCCGCCGUUGCGCCUUGGACGUUUUGAUAGUUGUUCUUCGCUGGGUAUGUCAGAGCCGCGUUUACGCCCUUUACUUUCUUGGGAGGUUGUUGCUAUGUGUGUCUGCGAAUGCGAAGUCGCAAGUUGUUCGAUCCCAUUAUCCUCCUGAUUUCUGGGGACAUCUCCCUCACUGCGCUGGUCAGCUUGAUCGAAUGAAGGUUUUCUGACAGAUUCGUCGUUCAAGGUAUUCGCCACGGUUUCAGAUGACUUCAUAUCAAGUUCGACUAGAGGGAGUUGGUCGAGGAUCCAUCGUAGGAGUAUAGAAUGGCGUUGUGCAUUCUCUUUGAAAAUCAGAUGAUUGCUGG
rnacentral:sRNA from 1 species